CCUACGGGAGACAGCAGUGAGGAAUAUUGGUCAAUGGACGAGAGUCUGAACCAGCCACGCAGCGUGAAGGAUGACUGCCUUCUGGGUUGUAACCUCUUUUUAUAUGGGAGUAGAACGUUCCACGUCUGGGAUUUUGUAUGUACCAUAUGCAUAAGGCUCGGCUAACUCCGUGCCAGCAGCCGCGGUAAUACGGAGGAUCCGAGCGUUAUCCGGAUUUUUUGGGUGUAAAGGGAGCGUAGGUGGAUUGUUAAGUCAGUUGUGAAAGUUUGCGGCACAACCGUAAAAUUGCAGUUGAAACUGGCAUGCUUGAGUACAGGAGAGGUGGGCGGAAUUCGUGGUGUAGCGGUGAAAUGCUUAGAUAUCACGAAGAACUCCGAUUGCGAAGGCAGUUCACUGGACUGCAACUGACACUGAGGCUCGAAAGUGUGGGGAGCAAACAGGAUUAGAUACCCCGGUAGUC
rnacentral:rRNA from 1 species